AUACGGAGGAUGCGAGCGUUAUCCGGAUUUAUUGGGUUUAAAGGGUGCGCAGGCGGCCGUGCAAGUCAGCGGUGAAAGCCCGGGGCUCAACCCCGGAAGUGCCGUUGAUACUGCAUGGCUGGAAUGCGGUCGAGGCGGGCGGAACGGGGCGUGUAGCGGGGAAAUGCGCAGAUAUGCCACAGAACGCCGAUAGCGGAGGCAGCUCGCCAGGCCUGCAUUGACGCUCGGGCACGAAAGCGUGGGGAUCGAACAGGAUUAGAUACCCUGGUAGUCCACGCCGUAAACGAUGGGCGCUCGUCGUCGGCGGCAGACAGUCGGCGGCCAAGCGAAAGCGAUAAGCGCCCCACCUGGGGAGUACGGUCGCAAGGCUGAAACUCAAAUGAAUUGACGGGG
rnacentral:rRNA from 1 species